ACAAUUUUACUAAUGAUUUUGAUUAUGUUUUGUUUGUAGAUUUGCAGAAUUGGAUGUGUUUCAGAAAGUUGAAGCAAAAUACAAGGUAGAUUUUACAGUUUAGAAUUUGAUUUCUUGCAGUAAACUAAUAAAAAUAGCAGACAACUAACACAUUCUGGAUUAUUGCGUGGCUAGGCAGAAGAAAAAUAAAGAGGAGAUGAUGAUGAAGUUGAGCAUUUAGACACUACAAAAAAAUCUCUGUUUAGCGUAAACUAUGUUAAUUAAAAAUCUGUGUUUCAUUUAUUGAAUCUUUUAGUCAUGCCAAACUUCUUAUUGUUGUUUCUAACAAUUUAUAGUUCUCUUUCGUUGUAAUGUUGCUAAUUGUAAUGUUGUUUCUUUGUUACUUCAAAUUUGGUAGUCUUGAUAAAUUCUGG
rnacentral:lncRNA from 1 species